GUCGGGGUUUCGUACGUAGCAGAGCAGC
rnacentral:piRNA from 6 species